GGCUACUUAGUUUAAACAAAAACAACUGUUUUGAAAACAGUAUUUAAGAAUAUUUUCUUAGUAACCU
rnacentral:tRNA from 1 species